UGGAAACUUUACAGUUUUAUGCAAGCCU
rnacentral:piRNA from 1 species